AUGGUUAUAGUAUAUUGGUGAUUAUUUUCGCCUGUCACACGGGUGACCCAGGUUCGAUCCCUGGUAAUGAUG
rnacentral:tRNA from 1 species